AUUGAACGCUGGCGGCAGGCCUAACACAUGCAAGUCGAGCGGAUGAAGGGAGCUUGCUCCUGGAUUCAGCGGCGGACGGGUGAGUAAUGCCUAGUAAUCUGCCUGGUAGUGGGGGAUAACGUCCGGAAACGGGCGCUAAUACCGCAUACGUCCUGAGGGAGAAAGUGGGGGAUCUUCGGACCUCACGCUAUCAGAUGAGCCUAGGUCGGAUUAGCUAGUUGGUGGGGUAAAGGCCUACCAAGGCGACGAUCCGUAACUGGUCUGAGAGGAUGAUCAGUCACACGGGAACUGAGACACGGUCCAGACUCCUACGGGAGGCAGCAGUGGGGAAUAUUGGACAAUGGGCGAAAGCCUGAUCCAGCCAUGCCGCGUGUGUGAAGAAGGUCUUCGGAUUGUAAAGCACUUUAAGUUGGGAGGAAGGGCAGUAAGUUAAUACCUUGCUGUUUUGACGUUACCAACAGAAUAAGCACCGGCUAACUUCGUG
rnacentral:rRNA from 1 species